GAUGAACGCUGGCGGUAUGCCUAACACAUGCAAGUCGUACGAGAGUUUUUAACUCUAGUGGCGGACGGGUGAGUAACACGUGAGAAUUUGCCUUUAGGAGGGGAUAACAAUUGGAAACGAAUGCUAAUACCCCAUAUGCUUUGAGUGAAAUGGAUUUUAUCCGCCUAGAGAGAAGCUCGCGGCUGAUUAGCUUGUUGGUAAGGUAAGAGCUUACCAAGGCGACGAUCAGUAUCUGGUUUGAGAGGACGAUCAGACACACUGGAACUGAGACACGGUCCAGACUCCUACGGGAGGCAGCAGUGGGGAAUUUUCCGCAAUGGGCGAAAGCCUGACGGAGCAAUACCGCGUGAGGGAAGAAUGCCUAUGGGUUGUAAACCUCUUUUUUCAGGGAGGAAUAAAAUGACGUGUACCUGAAGAAUAAGCAUCGGCUAACUCCGUG
rnacentral:rRNA from 1 species